ensembl:lncRNA
GUUAAAUAAUGAGAAUAACAAUUAUCUUUCUCAUAAAGUUGUUAUGAGAACUGAUGGGGAUAUCCCAGAUAAGGCAUCUGUCACAGAGUAGACAAUGUUAUAAAGGUUAACAAGGAGUUGAAAAAACUAACAUAGCCCAGAGAGUCCCCUAGUGUUAUAACAGUAAAGAUUGUAAACAAAGAGCAAUGCAUUGCCCAUCCCAGGAAAAUUGAUACCACCAUGUGUAAGGUUCAGAAUACAUAGCGUCUAAUACCUAAUAGACAUUCAAUGCCUUUACUGAAUGGAUGGAUGGGUAGAUGAAUGCCUAAAUCUGCAUUUAUACUGAAUGCAAUCUGCAUCAAUAGGGACCCCAUGAGGAUGGCUCUUGCAUUAGUUACAGUGAUUCAAAAGAUUAUAGCAGUUUCUUUCUACCUUAUCUAAUAGCCCAAAGGUGGAUGGGCUGUCUAGGGUUGGUAGACUGCUUUCUACCUCAGGAAAUCAUCCAGAGACCCAGGUGGGCUGGUCUGCCCUGCUAUCUUCAAUAUGGUGCUUUCAUCUCUGGGCACAAAGCUGCUCUAGUUAUCCCUGUUCUUAGCGACUAGGGCAGAGGAAGAGGGAAGACAAGAGUAAAUAGUUUGUUAAAAAUUAGUUUAUGGACCAGAACAUAAUCACGAGACUGGACUCAGCUACAAGGAAGGCAGGGAUGUAAAUCUUCAGCUAGACAGCCAUGUACUCAGCUAAAACUGGGGUGUUGGUGGUUUUAUUAUCACUAAGAAGAAGAGUAAUAGUGGAUAUUGAGGCUCAGUUAGCAGUCUCUAACUGAGCUCCAAAAUCACUGCAGAUGGUGACUGCAGCCAUGAAAUUAAAAGACACUUGCUCCUUGGAAAAAAAGCUGUGACCAACCUAAACAGCAUAUUACAAAGCAGAGACAUUACUUUGCCAACAAAGGUCUUUCUAGUCAAAGCUAUGGUUUUACUAGUAGUCAUGUAUGGAUGUGAGAGUUGGACUAGAAAGAAAGCUGAGC